rnacentral:lncRNA from 1 species
GGGGAGAAUCGCUUGCAGAAUUAUUUUUAACGCUUGGAGAUGAUGGUACAAAGUGACGGAAAUGUUUUUGUUUCAUUUGAUGUGUUUGGGUUAAACUUUUGCUGUUUUGUAAUAUCCUUUCCGUUUGGAAUUUUGCUUGGAGUUCGUUUUAUUUUGUUUUUUUGUUUUAUUUUUUAUGAACAGCAAACAUUCAGAACAUGAUUGAAUAUAUAUUUUGAGUGUGCACGCUUUUAAGUAAUAAAUAUGAAAUAUAAUUUAAAUGUUUGAUAAAACAUAAAA